AAAACGAUUUUCCGCCAGUGGAAAAGCUCAGUGUGUGUGUGUGUUUGUUCGUACUGGUGCUAAGGCAUUUAUUUCUGGGAGGCGCAAAACGAGGCGGCAAAACGAGGCGGCAGCAAGCGCGAGGGGAACUGGUAAGCAACUUUGAAAACUUGGCCAAAAAAGGCAAACCCCAAACCCCAAACAGAAACUACUUGAAAAACAAACAUAUUGCAACUUUUACUUUGAAUCUUUUGAGGACUGGGCUCCAGAUUGGUCUUGGUCUUGGGUUUGGGCCUGGGCCUGGGCUCAGGGUCUUUGGGUCGGUUCGCUUUCAAGUUUCGUUUUUUGACAGCUGCUGUCAAAUGUUGAAAGGCAGCCCCAUAGCCCCAACAAAAACACGACUCGAAAGGAGAAUUGAAGUUGGAAUCAGAACCGAAAACCAAAAACCAAAAACCAAAAACCAGAACCAGGCCCUAGGCCUUAGCCCCGAAAACACACACACGACUAUAGAAUAUAUGCUUAUGUCGUACACCUUAUGGCAGCGGCAGGGUCUAUGCUCCUGAAAAGGGCAAGGGCAACGGGGUAGGGGAAGGGAACAACAACAAAAAAAAAAACAAUGAAAACAUUUUUAUAGUUUUCAUGCACGAAGUCCACGAAAUGAAAAAUUCUACAAAAAUUAAACUGACAUUUAAAUUGAUAGUUCAAGAGAUGCACACGACAGAUACGCCAGCCACCGAGUGUGGUGGCGGCUCUCUCCACAGUGCCUGUGUGUGUGUGUGUAUCUGUGUGUCUGACGCAUAGUUUUUUGCGGCCUGAGCUGCUGCUUUUGCUUCUGAUGAUGAUGUAGACCUUAAGCAAUGCUCACGAUGCUGCUGCUGCUGCUGAUAACAAAGGCUAAAAAUAUUAAAAACUAUUUGUUUUUAGAAACAAAAUGCAGUCUGUUUGAUGAAGAUGCGAGGUGAAGGUCUAUAGAUAGAAAUGACGAACGGUAGCUAGAUGAUUUAAUCGCUUUUUUCACUAGGAAUAAACGCCUUGGAGUGGCACUGCUUAGAG
rnacentral:sRNA from 1 species